CUCCCGCCUCAGUUCCGUCUGUGUGGGCUUGAGGUGAGGAGCCAGCUCUGCCUCGGAGGUGGGUCAUGGAAGUGACAGCAAACUUCAGGAACUAGCCGUCGCUCCUGAAUGACACAAUCCCUUAAUUUACCCCGCCUUUGAGAAAACCGUCUCACAUGGGACAGAUGAGGGACCGACAUCAUGAAGGACAAAUCCUAUUUAACCAGAAAGGGGAUCAGCUGGAGACAUCUAUACUCGUCCCUCCUGAACGACUUGUGGUACAAUUGUGCCAUCUCAGAAGAGGUGACCAGACCUGCAGGACUCUCACGCGCUGGUGUGUCAUCAAGAUGUCCAGUCGGACAGGAGUCCAGACAUCACAGCUCAGGUGGAGAUCACAACUACGUCUUCACUACGCCGUGACACCUCAAAUUCACGUCAGACCAGGACUUGGUGAGUGUUCAGAAGACCACCUCUGAAAAGUCUUACUCUCAGGUAAAUCUGAUGUCAUCCAAGUUGGUGGUGUCACUUUCUCUGAUGAAAUCCUGUCAUUGGUCUUGAGCUGCCUCUCUUCUGCUCACUGUCAUAAAUCCACAGUCAUAAACACACGAGUCAUGUGAUGUAGUCCUGAAAAAAAUCACCCCAAAAUCCUCCACGAGACCUGACUGUGUUUUGUGUCACUCACUUGGUGCAUGGUCCCCAGCAUUGUUUCCCCACUGCCCCAUGUAGUUAGAACCCGGCCACCACGGACCACAUUACUGCCACUGACCCACCUGAACAUGAACUCUGAACUUCUUCACAGUGCUCAUGGUAAACUGGCUGUCUGGUUUUAAGACCUCAGUCAGGAACCUUGAGAUGUGCUUUCACUUGUAAUGUUCCCUCAUUCUUUAU